GUUCUCAGAGCCUUGAGAGAGCGUGGUCGCGAGCGUCUCCCGUGGCCAUGCGCGAUAGUGACAACCGCACCGUCCCCAACUUCCUCGCCCGCCACCCUGUCCUGUUCCGAGGACGAAAAGUGCAUGCGUAGAAGGAGCCAGGACAAGCCAGAACCUUACGACAGGAAUCCUAAGGAAGAAAAAACACAGAAAGUGGCUAGAGAAGAUCUUUGACCUACAUUGGACUUCGCCAGCCGGGGCUGAGCCAUUGGCUUGUGGGACAAGAGUCAGGGAAACACAGUUCAGGAUGCGAGCAAGCCCUCUGCCUGACACUCCUCCUGCUGCCUUGGCUCCACCAUUGUGUACUCCAGCCUCUGGAACUAUAAGC